rnacentral:rRNA from 1 species
AUGAACGCUAGCGACAGGCCUAACACAUGCAAGUCGAGGGGCAUCGGGGCGAGGAGCAAUCCUUGCCGCCGGCGACCGGCGCACGGGUGAGUAACGCGUAUGCGACCUGCCCGUUGCAGGGGGAUAAUCGGGAGAAAUCCCGUCUAAUACCGCGUAAUGCCGCGGGGCUGCAUGGCCCUGCGGCCAAAGGAAGCGAUUCCGGCAACGGAUGGGCAUGCGUGACAUUAGCUAGUUGGCGGGGCAACGGCCCACCAAGGCGACGAUGUCUAGGGGUUCUGAGAGGAAGGUCCCCCACACUGGUACUGAGACACGGACCAGACUCCUACGGGAGGCAGCAGUGAGGAAUAUUGGUCAAUGGGCGCGAGCCUGAACCAGCCAAGUCGCGUGAGGGAUGACGGCCCUACGGGUUGUAAACCUCUUUUGUCGGGGAGCAAAUUCCGCCACGUGUGGCGGAGUCGAGAGUACCCGAAGAAAAAGCAUCGGCUAACUCCGUGCCAGCAGCCGCGGUAAUACGGAGGAUGCGAGCGUUAUCCGGAUUUAUUGGGUUUAAAGGGUGCGUAGGCGGACUGUCAAGUCAGCGGUAAAAUACGGGGGCUCAACCUCCGCCCGCCGUUGAAACUGACGGUCUUGAGUGGGCGAGAAGUAUGCGGAAUGCGUGGUGUAGCGGUGAAAUGCAUAGAUAUCACGCAGAACUCCGAUUGCGAAGGCAGCAUACCGGCGCCCAACUGACGCUGAAGCACGAAAGCGUGGGUAUCGAACAGGAUUAGAUACCCUGGUAGUCCACGCAGUAAACGAUGAAUACUAGCUGUCCGGGGCGAAUGAGCCCUGGGUGGCACAGCGAAAGCGUUAAGUAUUCCACCUGGGGAGUACGCCGGCAACGGUGAAACUCAAAGGAAUUGACGGGGGCCCGCACAAGCGGAGGAACAUGUGGUUUAAUUCGAUGAUACGCGAGGAACCUUACCCGGGCUCAAACGACACAGGAACGUACCUGAAAGGGUUCGGCUCUACGGAGCCUGUGUCGAGGUGCUGCAUGGUUGUCGUCAGCUCGUGCCGUGAGGUGUCGGCUUAAGUGCCAUAACGAGCGCAACCCCCAUCGACAGUUGCUAACAGGUCAGGCUGAGGACUCUGUCGAGACUGCCGGCGCAAGCUGCGAGGAAGGCGGGGAUGACGUCAAAUCAGCACGGCCCUUACGUCCGGGGCGACACACGUGUUACAAUGGCAGGUACAGCGGGAAGCCACCUGGCGACAGGGAGCGGAACCCGAAAGCCUGUCUCAGUUCGGAUUGGAGUCUGCAACCCGACUCCAUGAAGCUGGAUUCGCUAGUAAUCGCGCAUCAGCCACGGCGCGGUGAAUACGUUCCCGGGCCUUGUACACACCGCCCGUCAAGCCAUGGAAGCCGGGGGUGCCUGAAGUGCGCUGCCGCGAGGAGCGCCCUAGGGUAAAACCGGUGACUGGGGCU